UACGAAGGGGGCUAGCGUUGCUCGGAAUCACUGGGCGUAAAGCGCACGUAGGCGGAUUGCUAAGUCAGGGGUGAAAUCCUGGAGCUCAACUCCAGAACUGCCUUUGAUACUGGCGAUCUUGAGUCCGGGAGAGGUGAGUGGAACUCCGAGUGUAGAGGUGAAAUUCGUAGAUAUUCGCAAGAACACCAGUGGCGAAGGCGGCUCACUGGCCCAUAACUGACGCUGAGGCACGAAAGCGUGGGGAGCAAACAGGG
rnacentral:rRNA from 1 species